AAUUAAAGAAUUACUAGUAUUUCCAAACUAUUUCCCGCUAAAUUCCACCUCCAAUACAGAAAAAAAAAAAAAAAAUUCCCCUGCAAUGGCAGAGGAAGUAGAAGAAGACCGCGCCAACAUUGACGAGACGCAUCAGUCGAGAAGAAGAGGAAGGCUAUAGCAGUCGAACACAAUCGAAUUGCUGUCAAACGACACCGUCUGCCUGCUGAUUUUCUGCUCGAUUCUCUCCCGAUGCCUCCUCGCCCCACCGAUCAGAAUAUCCCGGGAGAUCGGGCUAAAUCGCGGCCAAUUAAUGGUGGACACCAAAUAUCCUAGGGUGAGAAGGGGCCAGAAAAUGACGAGACAACUGACACUGUAUCCUCUCUGGGAUGUGAUCUUUCUCCAAGUGAGAGGAGGAGAUGCGUGAACUCAGCCUCGGACUCUGCAAGCUGCUGAUGUAGUCGAGCUCGUGAAAUGUUAGCUCUGUCAACUUUUCUUCUAUAAAUCUCGAGGCACUCAUGCUCAAGAUCCAGCAGAAACUUUUCCCGCUCAAAUUUGUCUUCUCCGACUUCAUCCCAUAUGAUCUGCAAGCGAAAGGCUCGUGUUACAACAAUCUGCAAGUAGCCACACGACGUCUCCAGCAAUGCUAAACUUCCCAUCCCACCAUUUGAUUUCUGUAAGGAUCCCAUCAAGAGAAUCUGUUGUGAUGAGAUGAUGAAAGACUAGAGAUUUAGCAGUCGUUUCCUAGAAGCGACUAGUAUUUUCUCGUACCACAAGAGCAGUUAUAAAAAGUAGAGAGAUGGAGGGACCAUAGUGAGGUGGGACUUUUGUUUUGGGAGUGAAUAUUUGCUUGAAAGAUAAGGUUUCACUGGUGGGUGACAGUGGAACUUUAGGCUCAAGGAUCCUUUGUUGCUUUUGAUCUUCAAGGACUUGAUUCUCAAGCAAAGCUCUCUGGAAAAUGGGGAAAAGAAAUGGUGAGGCAUCAUAUACUUGUCCUUGAGAAUCUUGUUAUUAGAUUAUCAUAUGAGAAUCCACUUUUCUUGGAAACUUACUCAUUUUAUCUCAGAUAAUUAGUAAAAUCACAUUUACUUAUGUUAUGUUAUUGGAGAGGUACUGUUAUUCCUCACCAAUGUUUGUCAAA